UGACAGCUGACUGGGUGGUGCACACCAGUAGGUCAGUGGCAGAGUUAGCCCUGCACCAUCAUUCACGGAAUCAUCUCAGCUGCCUGAGAGUGCACGUUUUCUGCAGCCUUCCCUCAGAAUUUCCUCUAAUUGAGAUCAGCUGAAAUAAUCUCAAUGAAGUUGUACAAUAUGGAAGAUUCCCUGCCAUGGAGGAUUUAUAUGCCUCGACUGUAAGUGACAGUAUAGUCUUGCAAGCCCAGUUGCAUGUUUAUCCAUUACCUCCCUGCCAAUGCUGCUCCUUAGAGAG
rnacentral:lncRNA from 1 species